CUUCUACCACCACCUCAUUGUACAGCUGGGCAAAUGGGAGCUGAGAGAGAAAAGGAAGUCAGUGUCCCCUGCAAUAGGACUACUCAACUUCACUCUGGAACAUUCAGAAGCAAGCACAGGGGGCCAGUUCCUGCACACGACUCCCCAUUCCCCUGGGGUACAGCUCUCACAUCCCAGCGAAGCUUCCACCAGUAAAAGGUGACAAGAUGGA